AUUAGAAACUAACUUAUCUGAAACAAAUUAACUGUAAAUUGACAAAAGACUCAACGAGGAAACAUGGUAUGGAAAAUAGGAAAUACGAUAGAGUUAUUUUUUUGAAGUUAAAUAUUUUCAUGUAUGAUCUGUGUUUUUUCAUUCAUUUAUUUAUUUUAUGUGGGGGAGGUUUGUUUGGUCUAAUUUGUUUAAUUUCAUUUUUUCUUUUUUAUUAUUUCAAAAAUAUUUCGACAUGUGGUGGAUUUAUGCGUUUGUGGAGGUUCGGUGUACUACGCAAGUGCAACUGGAAACUAGGAAGUUUUGUAGUGUUAUUCCAUUUUCAGGUUGUUCUACUAGAAACUGAAGAUCUUUCUAUGGAAGUUGUCAAUGCAUUGUGUGGCAACAAGCUGAGAAAUUGGUAUUGAUUUUGGUCCAUUGGGUAUCUUUGUUUACCACUGAAAAUGAGUUUGAGUUAUAAUGGUGAUAGUGGGGUUGGUGCAUGAGUGUGAAACAUGUUGGUUAAUUACACCAAGUCUUGGACGUGUGUUCCUUGGCCUUCAUGCAACUCUUAAUGGAUAAAGAUGGAGGGUUCUUCUUGGAAGAAGUGUUUCAGUUCUACGGCCUUAGAUAGUUUUGGAGGCUUAAAUAGGAGCCCAGAGCCUCAUGAAAGAAACCCCUUUUCUGGUGAGGAGUCAAAGGAUUCUAGCUUCAAAAAUGAGAGAGACAGGGUUGUGUUUGCACAAGGUGAUAAACAUGAAAACCUUGGUGGUUUUCUUGGGGAUGAAGAAGUAGGGGUUGACCCUUUUGUUUAUGCUAUAGAAUGUGGUGAUAAUAGCUUGAGGCUAUGGUUAGACAAACCUGAACGAACAGUGAAUGUUUUAGAGUGCUUGCACAUUUUUAGGCAGAUAGUAGAGACUGUUCAUGUGGCUCAUUCUCAAGGACUUGUUUUUCAUAAUGUGCGGCCCUCCUGCUUUGCUAUGUCGUCUUUCAACCGUGUCUCAUUUAUUGAGUCAGCAUCUUGUUCACAUUUUGGAUCAGAUACCUCAGAAGAAGAUGGAUUAAACCACCAAGCUGUUGAUAUUAAAAUGCCAACACCUAUCCAUCUCAAUGAUGUGCAUCAUCAGAGAUGUUUAGGAAGUGAAGAUUCUGUACCUGUUGAGACUACUACAACAACUGCUUUGUCGGACUCUAGUUGUGUGAUUUCAAGUGCAGUGUUUGCAGCGCCUAAAUCAUUAAUAGAAGAGACAGAAGAAAAUAAAAUGAAAAAUAGGAGAAAGGCUGAGGAAGUUGUUGGAAAGAAGCAAUCAUUUCCAACGAAACAGGUACUGCUGAUGGAGGCAAGUUGGUAUACUAGUCCUGAAGAGGUAGCUGGUGCUCCAAGUUCCUGUGCUUCAGAUGUUUACCGAUUGGGAGUUCUCCUUUUUGAGCUAUUCUGUCCACUUAGCUCAAGUGAAGAAAAGAGCAGAACCAUGUCCAGCCUUAGACAUAGAGUUCUUCCUCCACAAUUACUUCUAAAGUGGCCUAAAGAAGCUUCAUUUUGCUUAUGGUUGCUACAUCCUGAGCCGAGUGGUCGUCCAACAUUGGGGGAGUUGUUGCAGUGUGAGUUUCUUAAUGAACCGAGAGAUGAUAUGGAAGAGCGUGAAGCUGCAGUAGAACUCAGAGAAAGGAUAGAUAAUGAGGAGUUGUUGCUAGAGUUCCUUUUGUUAAUUCAACAGAAAAAAGGGGAAGCUGCUGAGAAGUUGCAACAUACUAUCUCUUUUCUGCAUUCAGAUAUUGAAGAAGUGACUAAACAGCAAACUGUAUUUAAAGCGGUAACUGGCAUUGGACUAGGGAGUGAUGAUUGUGCAGCAUCAAGUUUCCCAUCCAUUACAGUUGUUGAUAAUGAGGAUUCUGCUUGUCUAAGAACCAGAAAACGGGUCAGACCAGAUCUGUGUGUUGACAGCACUGAGGGAUGCAAUAAUAACAUAUGCAAUGAUCAGAAAAAUCAUGGAAGUAUUCUUUCAAAAAAUCCACGACUUUUGAAGAACUUGACGAAGCUAGAGUCAGCAUACUGUUUUACACGAUGCAGAUCUGCCUAUUCCUUGGGGAAACUUGUGGCUACACAUUCACCUAUAGCUACUGAUGAUAGAGGGUCUGUUGUUGUGACUCCAAGGAGUUGUGUCAAUAAAGUAGUGUCAAAAGAGCAGUGUAGAGAGGGAAAAAGCCCUUGGAUAAAUCCUUUCCUUGAGGGUUUGUGCAAGUACUUAUCUUUCAGUAAGUUGAAGGUUAAGGGUGACCUGAAACAAGGAGAUCUUUUGCAGUCUUCCAGCCUGAUAUGCUCUCUCAGUUUUGAUCGUGAUGCAGAAUUUUUUGCAACUGCUGGUGUAAAUAAGAAAAUUAAAGUUUUUGAAUGUGACACAACCAUAAACGAGGACUGUGAUAUCCACUAUCCAGUAGUGGAGAUGGUUAGCCGGUCAAAGUUGAGCAGUAUAUGUUGGAAUACUUACAUCAAAAGUCAAAUUGCUUCAAGUAAUUUUGAAGGUGUUGUACAGUUAUGGGAUGUGACAAGAAGUCAAGUGCAGUCUGAAAUGAUGGAGCAUGAGCAGCGGGUAUGGUCCGUUGAUUUCUCAUCAGCUGAUCCAACAAUGUUGGCAAGUGGGAGUGAUGAUGGUUCUGUCAAGCUAUGGAGUAUCAAUCAGGCAAAUUCCAUUUUUGCAUUUGGUGGAUGUCAGCUUUGAAACUAAACGGAGUAAGUGUUGGCACCAUAAAAACGAAGGCAAAUGUGUGCUGUGUUCAGUUCCCCCUUGAUUUUGCUCGUUUCCUUGCAUUUGGCUCAGCAGAUCAUCGGAUAUAUUACUAUGAUCUUCGCAACCUGAAAAUGCCUCUCUGUACACUAGUUGGACAUAAUAAAACAGUGAGCUACAUCAAAUUCAUAGACACUGUGAACCUAGUCUCUGCAUCCACAGAUAACACUUUGAAGCUUUGGGAUUUGUCUCUGUGUUCAGCUCGUGUAAUAGACUCGCCAAUUCAAUCUUUCACUGGUCACUUAAAUGUUAAGAACUUUGUAGGGUUGUCUGUAUCUGAUGGUUACAUUGCUACCGGUUCAGAGACAAACGAGGUGUUCAUAUAUCACAAGGCUUUUCCCAUGCCAGCAUUAUCAUUCAAAUUUUACAGUUCUGGGAAUGAAGUGGAUGAUUCUUCACAGUUCAUCUCUUCUGUUUGUUGGCGCGGUCAAUCCUCCACCUUACUUGCUGCAAAUUCCACAGGCAAUGUCAAAAUUCUGGAGAUGACUUAAGUUGACCUUUAAUCUGUAAUAAAGACACAAACAUUUGUACAUUGAGGGAGGUGACAGAAACAUUGUUCAAGGUUCACUAUCUGUUGCUGGGAAAGGCUGUAGAGAACUCUAUACGAACUUGUAACUAGUUUUUGCAUUAGCUCAUGACGGAAGCAAUGAGAGAAAAAAGUGAGAUUGAUCUCUUCAAGAAUGUUCUGUAGAUAAAAUGCUAUAGAAAAGAAAGGUGAAAAGUAUAUUAGAUAUUCUAUUAGGUUGCUAAUCAUAUCCAGCCCCUCUGGUUCGAGAUUCCCUAGAUUGUUGAUCAUGUCCAAUCAGUGCCAAUAACUUGGUUAAAAAAUUCAUGUCUUGCGAUGACUUUGGCUGAAUGAGCCUAAAAUCUAAUGAUUCAAAUAUCUAUUGUUCGUAGGAAUAAGAAAAGAUCACGUAAAAAAUUGAUGGAUUUUGGAAUCUUGAUGCUGCAAAAUAUUGUGAAAACUCAUCUAAAUAGGAUUACAAAAGGGGUAAAGUAUAUUUCUUGCCCCAAAAAUUUAG